UUAUGGCUCAGGAUGAACGCUAGCUACAGGCUUAACACAUGCAAGUCGAGGGCAGCAUUGAGAUAGCUUGCUAUUCAGAUGGCGACCGGCGCACGGUGAGUAACGCGUAUCCAACCUCCCUUAGUAGGGCAUAGCCCGGCGAAAGUCGGAUUAAUACCCUAUGUUUUCCAAUGAGGACAUCUGAGCUGGAACAAAGAUUCAUCGCUAAGGGAUGGGGAUGCGUCUGAUUAGGUAGUAGGCGGGGUAACGGCCCACCUAGCCGACGAUCAGUAGGGGUUCUGAGAGGAAGGUCCCCCACACUGGUACUGAGACACGGACCAGACUCCUACGGGAGGCAGCAGUGAGGAAUAUUGGUCAAUGGGCGUGAGCCUGAACCAGCCAAGUAGCGUGCAGGAUGACGGCCCUAUGGGUUGUAAACUGCUUUUAUGCGGGGAUAAAGUGAGGGACGUGUCCCUUUUUGUAGGUACCGCAUGAAUAAGGACCGGCUAAUUCCGUGCCAGCAGCAGC
rnacentral:rRNA from 1 species